CAUGCUCGGAGUUUCGCCAUUUUAAUCAGACAGAACGGAUUCUUUGCAAUAAGCGAUCAAAAAAAAAUAUCUAGAAAUGUUUAUUAACUUAAUGGAAAAGGUGGAUGGUUUUUAUUUAGCUGGUUUUAUAUAUCCAAAGUUUGAUUAAGGUGACUGUUCAGGUCUCGAGACGCUUUAAAGAUGACUUCCGCAUGAAAAUUCUGAAAAACGUAUUCAUUCUUACAUGUGCUUGAUAAUGAACGUGCCUUCUGGGUUUUCUGAAUCUUCAGCUGAAUUAAAUCUAUCUGCGAUGUCCAUCCAAAAUCAGGGUGCACACUCCAUGGAUGAAACAAAAUCAACCACAGAUGAAGAUUUUUAUCCAAGAUGCAGUUCAGUCCAGCAGGAGAGAUCAGAUUCACCAGAUUUCAGCUGUGUAUCUAUGAGUGCCCAAUCAAUUGAACAGCCAGUAAAUAUUAAGAGUGGAGACACACAACCUGAUCUCAUUUCAGUCCAGCAGGAGAGAUCAGAUUCACCAGAUUUCAGCUGUGGGUCUAUGAGUGUCCAGUCUAUUGAACAGCCAGUAAAUAUUAAGAAUGGAGACACCCAACCUGAUCUUAUGUAUGAACAAUGUAUGAAAUAUGAUUAUAUAAUAACAUUUUUUUAUUUAUGGUGGGUAAAUUUGUUUUAUUAUAUAAUACUUUGUUAAGAAGUAGCCUGCAUUCACAACAGUGUAAAAACUAUUGAUGGAAUUAUUAAGGUAGGCUAAUGAGAAAAAACUACAAAUAUCAGUUUCUGAUUCUUGAUUCUCUUGAUGAUGUUAAGGUCAAUCCAUCCACCCAGAUCAGACCUAACAGAACCUGUCUGCAAUAAGGAUGAUGAGUUUAUGAAUCAACUACAAAGCACAUAUUCUGAUUUCAGGUAAAAUAAUAUGUUUAUUUUUAUUUAUUUAUUUUAAAUGCUGUAAUGGGUCAUAACACAUUACUCAAAAACAUUAUAACUGACUUAAAAUGUCAUGGAACUGAUGGUCUGUGUACAGUAUGAUGUAGAAAACAAACAAAAAUGUUUAAUGGAAUAAUUUGGUAUUUUAACUGAUACAGCUAUAAAUCUAAUUCUGCUGAAGUCCUUAAGGCACUGAAAUCAAAUCUGAGGAAGAAGUUUCAGUGUCUGUAUGAGGGAACAUCAAAGCAGGGAAACCCAACACUCCUGAAUGAGAUCUACACAGAUCUCUACAUCACAGAGGGUGAAAAUGGAG
ensembl:lncRNA